GGUCAUGGUAGAAGUACAAGCCUAACUGAUGCAGAACUGAUUUUGUUCUUUUAAGUUCCUGUGUCUUAUCAAAUAAUAACUUGAUGAUUAGCCAUUCACUUGUUGUCCCAAAUUAUAGAAAUCCAUAAUGCUUCAUUUGCAAAGACCCCAAACUACUUCAGAGCACUGUUCUAAAGGUUCCAAGACUUUCUGAUUUAAACUAUAACUCUCAAUGUCCAUCAUAGCUAAGUUACCCGAAAAGGUUGAGAAUAUCUAGUUCUUUCCUUAAAUAUUCAAAGAAAAAUCUAACAUCUAAGACAUUGUUUUGUUUGAUUUCUAAAUUUUUGAUUUUGUUUUUUGUUAAAUCAAGUUAACUUAAAGUCCAAUCACAGGAUCAACCUAGGAAUUUAAGUCAACAUAAAGAAGGGAUAUUUUAGUGAAUAACAUGAUUAGUCUACCUGAAUUUUUUUGUCUUUUCAUGCGUAAAAUGUAUUUCUAUUAUAUUUCAACAACCCUUAAAUUUUGUAGGUAAAAUGUAUUUGUAUUG
rnacentral:lncRNA from 1 species